AUGAACGCUGACAGAAUGCUUAACCCAUGCAAGUCUUUGGCGAAGCUGUGCUUGCACAGCCUAGCCAAGGCGGACGGGUGAGUAACGCGUAAGGAACUUGCCCUGCAGUCAGGGAUAACAGACGGAAACGACUGAUAAGACCUGGUAAAGUCAGGCGGACUCAUGUCCAGCCUGAUGAAAAGAGAUGCUGCAGGAGAGCCUUGCGUCCUAUUAGCUUGUUGGUGGGGUAACGGCCCACCAAGGCGAUGAUAGGUAGCCGGCCUGAGAGGGUGGACGGCCACAAGGGGACUGAGAUACGGCCCUUACUCCUACGGGAGGCAGCAGUGGGGAAUAUUGGACAAUGGGGGCAACCCUGAUCCAGCAAUUCUGUGUGCACGAUGAAGGUUUUCGGAUUGUAAAGUGCUUUCAGCAGGGAAGAAAAAAUGACGGUACCUGCAGAAGAAGCGACGGCUAAAUACGUG
rnacentral:rRNA from 1 species